rnacentral:rRNA from 1 species
CAUGCAAGUCCGACGUGAAAGGGGAGCGAUCCCCCGGUAGGGUGGCAAACGGGUGAGUAAGACAUGGGUGAUCUACCCUGGAGAUGGGGAUAUCCCUCCGAAAGGGGGGGCAAUACCGAAUAGUAUCCGGUUCCGUGAAGGGGACCGGGGAAAAGGAGGCCUCUGGAACAAGCUUCCGCUCCUGGAUGAGCCCAUGGCCCAUCAGCUAGUUGGCAGGGUAAAGGCCUACCAAGGCGACGACGGGUAGCUGGUCUGAGAGGACAACCAGCCACACUGGCACUGAGACACGGGCCAGACUCCUACGGGAGGCAGCAGUGAGGAAUAUUGCGCAAUGGGGGCAACCCUGACGCAGCAACGCCGCGUGUGGGAAGAAGGCUUUCGGGUUGUAAACCACUUUUGCCCGGGACGAAAAGGGGCCCAAUAACACGGGGUUCCGAUGACGGUACCGGGAGAAUAAGCCACGGCUAACUCUGUGCCAGCAGCC